AUCAAGGGAUGGGAAUCGAACCCACGACCUUCCGCUUACCGACAGAUGCCAUGACCACUAGGCUACCCUGGA
rnacentral:tRNA from 1 species